AAUAGAUACCCGGGUAGUCCACGCCGUAAACGAUGAGUGCUAAGUGUUAGAGGGUUUCCGCCCUUUAGUGCUGCAGCAAACGCAUUAAGCACUCCGCCUGGGGGAGUACGGUCGCAAGACUGAAACUCAAAGGAAUUGACGGGGGGCCCGCACAAGCGGUGGAGCAUGUGGUUUAAUUCGAAGCAACGCGAAGAACCUUACCAGGUCUUGACAUCCUUCGCUACUUCUAGAGAUAGAAGGUUCCCCUUCGGGGGACGGAGUGACAGGUGGUGCAUGGUUGUCGUCAGCUCGUGUCGUGAGAUGUUGGGUUAAGUCCCGCAACGAGCGCAACCCUUGACCUUAGUUGCCAGCAUUCAGUUGGGCACUCUAAGGUGACUGCCGGUGACAAACCGGAGGAAGGUGGGGAUGACGUCAAAUCAUCAUGCCCCUUAUGACCUGGGUCUACACACGUGCUACAAUGGAUGGUACAAAGGGCUGCAAGACUGCGAAGUCAAGCCAAUCCCAUAAAACCAUUCUCAGUUCGGAUUGCAGGCUG
rnacentral:rRNA from 1 species